rnacentral:rRNA from 1 species
UACAGAGGUGGCGAGCGUUAUUCGGAAUUAUUGGGCGUAAAGAGCGUGUAGGCGGCCAGGUAGGUCUGCUGUGAAAACUCGAGGCUUAACCUCGAGCUGUCGGCGGAAACCAUCUGGCUAGAGUCCGGAAGAGGAGAAUGGAAUUCCCGGUGUAGCGGGUGAAAUGCGCAGAUAUCGGGAGGAACACCGGGUGGCGAAGGCGGUUCUCUGGGCCUUACCUGACGCUGAGGAGCGAAAGCAUGGGGGAGCGAACAGG